rnacentral:rRNA from 1 species
AGAGUUUGAUCAUGGCUCAGGAUGAACGCUGGCGGCGUGCCUAACACAUGCAAGUCGAACGAAGCAUUCCGGUCCGAAAUUUUCGGAUAGAAGACUGGUCUGACUGAGUGGCGGACGGGUGAGUAACGCGUGGGCAACCUGCCCUGUACAGGGGGACAACAGCCGGAAACGGCUGCUAAUACCGCAUAAGCGCACGGGAACGCAUGUUCCUGUGUGGAAAACUCCGGUGGUACAGGAUGGGCCCGCGUUGGAUUAGGUAGUUGGCGGGGCAACGGCCCACCAAGCCGACGAUCCAUAGCCGACCUGAGAGGGUGACCGGCCACAUUGGGACUGAGACACGGCCCAAACUCCUACGGGAGGCAGCAGUGGGGAAUAUUGCACAAUGGGGGGAACCCUGAUGCAGCGACGCCGCGUGAGUGAAGAAGUAUUUCGGUAUGUAAAGCUCUAUCAGCAGGGAAGAAGAUGACGGUACCUGCAUAAGAAGCUCCGGCUAAAUACGUGCCAGCAGCCGCGGUAAUACGUAUGGAGCAAGCGUUAUCCGGAUUUACUGGGUGUAAAGGGAGCGCAGACGGGCGAACAAGUCUGAUGUGAAAGGCGGGGGCUCAACCCCCGGACUGCAUUGGAAACUGUAUGCCUUGAGUGCCGGAGAGGUAAGCGGAAUUCCUGGUGUAGCGGUGAAAUGCGUAGAUAACAGGAGGAACACCAGUGGCGAAGGCGGCUUACUGGACGGUAACUGACGUUGAGGCUCGAAAGCGUGGGGAGCAAACAGGAUUAGAUACCCUGGUAGUCCACGCCGUAAA